rnacentral:rRNA from 1 species
UGGGGAAUAUUGCGCAAUGGGCGAAAGCCUGACGCAGCGACGCCGCGUGAGGGAUGAAGGUUUUCGGAUCGUAAACCUCUGUCAGAAGGGAAGAAACCGCACUGUGCUAAUCAGCAGUGCCUUGACGGUACCUUCAAAGGAAGCACCGGCUAACUCCGUGCCAGCAGCCGCGGUAAUACGGAGGGUGCAAGCGUUAAUCGGAAUUACUGGGCGUAAAGCGCACGUAGGCUGCUUUGUAAGUCAGGGGUGAAAUCCCACGGCUCAACCGUGGAACUGCCUUUGAUACUGCUUAGCUUGAAUCCGGGAGAGGGUGGCGGAAUUCCAGGUGUAGGCGUGAAAUCCGUAGAUAUCUGGAGGAACAUCAGUGGCGAAGGCGGCCACCUGGACCGGUAUUGACGCUGAGGUGCGAAAGCGUGGGGAGCAAACAGG